rnacentral:rRNA from 1 species
GCUUAAUACAUGCAAGUCGAGGGGCAGCAUGAUUGUAGCAAUACAAUUGAUGGCGACCGGCAAACGGGUGCGGAACACGUACACAACCUUCCAACAAGUGGGGGAUAGCCCAGAGAAAUUUGGAUUAAUACCCCGUAACAUAGCGAUGUGGCAUCACAUUGCUAUUAUAGAUUUAUCGAUGUAAGCUGGGCAUGCGUCCAAUUAGCUAGUUGGUGAGGUAACGGCUCACCAAGGCAAUGAUUGGUAGGGGAACUGAGAGGUCAAUCCCCCACACUGGCACUGAGAUACGGGCCAGACUCCUACGGGAGGCGGCAGUAGGGAAUAUUGGGCAAUGGACGCAAGUCUGACCCAGCCAUGCCGCGUGCAGGAUGAAGGCGUUAUGCGUUGUAAACUGCUUUUAUACAGGAAGAAACGACUCUUGCGAGAGGCAUUGACGGUACUGUAUGAAUAAGCACCGGCUAACUCCGUGCCAGCCGCCGCCGUAACAC